GAUGAACGCUGGCGGCGUGCCUAAUACAUGCAAGUCGAGCGAACGGACGAGAAGCUUGCUUCUCUGAUGUUAGCGGCGGACGGGUGAGUAACACGUGGAUAACCUACCUAUAAGACUGGGAUAACUUCGGGAAACCGGAGCUAAUACCGGAUAAUAUUUUGAACCGCAUGGUUCAAAAGUGAAAGACGGUCUUGCUGUCACUUAUAGAUGGAUCCGCGCUGCAUUAGCUAGUUGGUAAGGUAACGGCUUACCAAGGCAACGAUGCAUAGCCGACCUGAGAGGGUGGUCGGCCACACUGGAACUGAGACACGGUCCAGACUCCUGCGGGAGGCAGCAGUAGGGAAUCUUCCGCAAUGGGCGAAAGCCUGACGGAGCAGCGCCGCGUGAGUGAUGAAGGUCUUCGGAUCGUAAAACUCUGUUAUUAGGGAAGAACAUAUGUGUAAGUAACUGUGCACGUCUUGACGGUACCUAAUCAGAAAGCCACGGCUAACUACGUG
rnacentral:rRNA from 1 species